rnacentral:rRNA from 1 species
UUGAAGAGUUUGAUCAUGGCUCAGAUUGAACGCUGGCGGCAGGCCUAACACAUGCAAGUCGAGCGGUAGCACAGAGAGCUUGCUCUCGGGUGACGAGCGGCGGACGGGUGAGUAAUGUCUGGGAAACUGCCUGAUGGAGGGGGAUAACUACUGGAAACGGUAGCUAAUACCGCAUAACGUCGCAAGACCAAAGUGGGGGACCUUCGGGCCUCAUGCCAUCAGAUGUGCCCAGAUGGGAUUAGCUAGUAGGUGGGGUAACGGCUCACCUAGGCGACGAUCCCUAGCUGGUCUGAGAGGAUGACCAGCCACACUGGAACUGAGACACGGUCCAGACUCCUACGGGAGGCAGCAGUGGGGAAUAUUGCACAAUGGGCGCAAGCCUGAUGCAGCCAUGCCGCGUGUGUGAAGAAGGCCUUCGGGUUGUAAAGCACUUUCAGCGGGGAGGAAGGCGUUAAGGUUAAUAACCUUGGCGAUUGACGUUACCCGCAGAAGAAGCACCGGCUAACUCCGUGCCAGCAGCCGCGGUAAUACGGAGGGUGCAAGCGUUAAUCGGAAUUACUGGGCGUAAAGCGCACGCAGGCGGUCUGUCAAGUCGGAUGUGAAAUCCCCGGGCUCAACCGGGAACUGCAUUCGAAACUGGCAGGCUAGAGUCUUGUAGAGGGGGGUAGAAUUCCAGGUGUAGCGGUGAAAUGCGUAGAGAUCUGGAGGAAUACCGGUGGCGAAGGCGGCCCCCUGGACAAAGACUGACGCUCAGGUGCGAAAGCGUGGGGAGCAAACAGGAUUAGAUACCCUGGUAGUCCACGCCGUAAACGAUGUCGAUUUGGAGGUUGUGCCCUUGAGGCGUGGCUUCCGGAGCUAACGCGUUAAAUCGACCGCCCGGGAGUACGGCCGCAAGGUUAAAACUCAAAUGAAUUGACGGGGCCCGCACAAGCGGUGGAGCAUGUGGUUUAAUUCGAUGCAACGCGAAGAACCUUACCGGUCUUGACAUCCACAGAACUUUCCAGAGAUGGAUUGGUGCCUUCGGGAACUGUGAGACAGGUGCUGCAUGGCUGUCGUCAGCUCGUGUUGUGAAAUGUUGGGUUAAGUCCCGCAACGAGCGCAACCCUUAUCCUUUGUUGCCAGCGGUUCGGCCGGGAACUCAAAGGAGACUGCCAGUGAUAAACUGGAGGAAGGUGGGGAUGACGUCAAGUCAUCAUGGCCCUUACGACCAGGGCUACACACGUGCUACAAUGGCAUAUACAAAGAGAAGCGACCUCGCGAGAGCAAGCGGACCUCAUAAAGUAUGUCGUAGUCCGGAUUGGAGUCUGCAACUCGACUCCAUGAAGUCGGAAUCGCUAGUAAUCGUAGAUCAGAAUGCUACGGUGAAUACGUUCCCGGGCCUUGUACACACCGCCCGUCACACCAUGGGAGUGGGUUGCAAAAGAAGUAGGUAGCUUAACCUUCGGGAGGGCGCUUACCACUUUGUGAUUCAUGACUGGGGUGAAGUCGUAACAAGGUAACCGUAGGGGAACCUGCGGUUGAUCACCUCCUU